UACAGAGGUCCCAAGCGUUGUUCGGAUUCAUUGGGCGUAAAGGGUGCGUAGGCGGCGCCGUAAGUCGGGUGUGAAAUUUCGGAGCUUAACUCCGAAACUGCAUUCGAUACUGCGGUGCUUGAGGACUGGAGAGGAGACUGGAAUUCAUGGUGUAGCAGUGAAAUGCGUAGAGAUCAUGAGGAAGACCAGUGGCGAAGGCGGGUCUCUGGACAGUUCCUGACACUGAGGCACGAAGGCCAGGGGAGCAAACGGG
rnacentral:rRNA from 1 species